rnacentral:lncRNA from 1 species
GGGAGUUUAAGCUCUAGCUUCAGCCUGAUGUUUUUAACCAACUAGGCCCGCCAACCCACAAGCAGAUAGAAAAUAAGCUGAUUCUAUAGGACAGAAAAAGGAAGAGGGCAGGGGUCAUAAGGGGAUGUAAGCAUAAGAUACCCAAGCCAGAAACAGCAACCCUUCCAGGUCCCCUUCCCCCACGUGGAAGCUUUCCUUUCACUUUCGCUUUAAUAAAUCUUGCCGCAGCACACUCUCUAAUCGAGCUGUAACACUCGCCACUGCCGUCCACGGCUUCAUUCCUUGAAGCCGUGAGACCACGAACCCUUCGAUUGAGAAGAACCUUCGGUCGGAAGAAGACUUCUCGUCUCAGUAACAAUAACAAGAAAAACAGCCUAGACUAGACGCACAUCAGGAAGACAGUUAAUCCCGUCAUGUAUUGACCCGGAAACAUCAUCUCAUUUGCCUAUAAGACAGAGAGAGAGAAUGAUAGAAAUGCUGGAAGAACGAGCCUUGGGGCGGUAUCGCCCAGAUCUGAAUCCACACAGCAGCUGCUUCGGUCCCUGUAACUCAAGGCUUCCUCUUAAUCCUCUGUCCUCCAUCAACACCUGGCUGAGCAGGAACAACUAUGACCUAGGACCAGGGCCUUCAGGAAUCUUCACCCCUAACUUGAACUUCAUAACACUGGAGAGAGAGACUGUGGAAUGGAAUGACUCUCCAGAGCUGCAGAUUGAAGAUCUCAAUGGCGGGAACACCUUCAUGGCCCCUUUAUAGCUGGAUGAUCAUUUCCUGUUCUCUCCACCAUGGCCACCUGGUCCAAGCCACCAUCUUCAUGCACCUGGAUACCUGCCAUAACCUCAGCUGACCUUUCCUGUGUCCAUUCUUGUUCCUUUGGGCCCAGUCUCCUCGCUCAUAGCAGCAGAAUGAGUCUAUUAAAAAGUGAAACAAUUUCUGUCACUUCCUGGCUCAAAAGUCUCCAAUAGUUUCCCCAUGGAUUGGAAUAAAAUGUAGGUUCUAACCAUGGGGUACCAUGUAAGUUUAGGUUCACCUGUAAGUCACAGGAAAAAAAAAUAUAUAUAUAUAUAUGUAUAUAUCACACACACAC